UGCCCAGCAACUCCUAUUCCUACCUCCACGCGGUACCGACCGGAAACUAUGAGCAACCUUAGGGAAGAUCGGGUAACCAACCCCGGUGGGACCUUUGGUCGUAGGCUGACAGGGAAGG
rnacentral:ribozyme from 1 species